UACGGAGGGUGCGAGCGUUGUCCGGAUUUAUUGGGUUUAAAGGGUGCGUAGGCGGCUCUUUUAAGUCUGGGGUGAAAGCCCGUUGCUCAACAACGGAACUGCCCUGGAAACUGAAGAGCUUGAGUACAGACGAGGGUGGCGGAAUGGAUACUGUAGCGGUGAAAUGCAUAGAUAGUAUCCAGAACCCCGAUUGCGAAGCAGCUGCCUAGACUGUAACUGACGCUGAGGCACGAAAGCGUGGGGAGCGAACAGG
rnacentral:rRNA from 1 species